CCUACGGGUGGCAGCAGUGGGGAAUAUUGCACAAUGGGGGGAACCCUGAUGCAGCGACGCCGCGUGGGUGAAGGAGUUUUUCGGUAUGUAAAGCCCUAUCAGCAGGGAAGAACAAUGACGGUACCUGACUAAGAAGCACCGGCUAAAUACGUGCCAACAGCCUCGGUAAUACGUAUGGUGCAAGCGUUAUCCGGAUUUACUGGGUGUAAAGGGAGCGCAGGCGGCGCGUUAAGCCUGGUGGGAAAGUCCGGGGCCCAACCGCGGGACUGCAGUGGGAACUGGCGGGCUGGAGUGCCGGAGGGGUAGGCGGAAGUCGUGGUGUAGCGGUGAAAUGCGUAGAUAUUAGGAGGAACACCGGUGGCGAAGGCGGCCUACUGGACGGUGACUGACGCUGAGGCUCGAAAGCGUGGGGAGCAAACAGGAUUAGAUACCCUUGUAGUC
rnacentral:rRNA from 1 species